ACGGAAGGCAGCAGUGGGGAAUAUUGGGCAAUGGGCGAAAGCCUGACCCAGCGACGCCGCGUGAGCGAUGAAGGUCUUCGGAUUGUAAAGCUCUGUUGAUAGGGACGAACAAAUGACGGUACCUAUCGAGGAAGCCACGGCUAACUACGUGCCAGCAGCCGCGGUAAUACGUAGGUGGCAAGCGUUAUCCGGAUUUAUUGGGUGUAAAGGGUGAGUAGGCGGGUCUGUAAGUCAGAUGUGAAAUGCAGCUGCUCAACGGCUGAAUUGCAUUUGAAACUACGGAUCUUGAGAGUCGGAGAGGUAAUUGGAAUUCCCAGUGUAGCGGUGAAAUGCGUAGAGAUUGGGAAGAACACCAGUGGCGAAGGCGGAUUACUGGACGACAACUGACGCUGAUACACGAAAGCGUGGGGAGCAAACAGGAUUAGAUACCCUGGUA
rnacentral:rRNA from 1 species